UGAGAACUAGCCGUCUGGAGUCUUCGUGCUCUGGGUGGCGCAGCUAACGCGUGAAGUUCUCCGCCUGGGGAGUACGGCCGCAAGGUUAAAACUCAAAGGAAUUGACGGGGACCCGCACAAGCGGUGGAUGAUGUGGAUUAAUUCGAUGCAACGCGAAGAACCUUACCUACCCUUGACAUGCCGGGAAUCCUGCCCAGAGGCGGGAGUGCCUUCGGGAACCCGGACACAGGUGCUGCAUGGCUGUCGUCAG
rnacentral:rRNA from 1 species